AGGAGCUGGUCUUGUGGGGCAGCCCUAAAAUGUAUCUCCAAGUGACCCUGCACUCAUCACUUGCUGCCUUGGACUUAGUUUCCUCAUUCGUAGAAUGGAGACACCACACUUUCUGAAGUGCUUAUGAGACUUGCAGGAGGAAGUUCUUGCUGCAUCCUGUGAACUGCUGGAACUUGCUGAUUGCACUUCAUAGACAAUUCCCCAAAGCCUGCAUUUGCAAAGCUGGCCUUUUCCAUUUGGAACACUCCUA
rnacentral:lncRNA from 10 species